GCCGGGCAUGGUGGCACAUGCCUGUAAUCCCAGCUACUAGGGAGGCUGAGGCAGGAGAAUCACUUGAAUUCGGGAAGCGGAGGUUGCAGUGAGCCGAGAUCCGGCCAUUGCACUCCAGCCUGGGUGACAGAGUGAGACUCUGUCUCAA
rnacentral:sRNA from 1 species